rnacentral:rRNA from 1 species
AUGCAGAUUUGCAAGUACUAUCAAUCGAGCAAGAGCCACCGGCUCGUGUCGUAGGUGAUCCACGGCGAGUAGGUGCCCCUCUACGGUGCGGGGGGCGGGCUCUCGCUCUCCGGCAACGUUGUCACGGUGCCGCUGACGGUGGACUUCGAGCUCGUCUCCCUGGGCUACGUCAUCGGCAAGCUGGUGCCGGUGACGCACAAGGUGCACGUGACGUGCCGCAUCACCGUCGACGCCAGGAGGGGGAGGACCAGGAUUCCCCAGAAGGCAUGCGCCGUGUACAAGGCCUGA